rnacentral:rRNA from 1 species
CGGGAUCAAUUUAUUGGUCGUGCUAUUGUACGUACUGGUAUUAUUGAUUCCUACCUUCUGACGAACCAUGAUGUCAUUAAUUUGGUGUCAUGGGGAAUCAGGACUGUUACUUUGAAAAAAUUAGAGUGUUUAAAGCAGGCUCACGCUUGAAUACAUUAGCAUGGAAUAACGAAAUAGGACGUUUGAUUCUAUUUUGUUGGUUUCUAGGAUCGACGUAAUGAUUAAUAGGGAUAGUUGGGGGCAUUAGUAUUCAAUUGUCAGAGGUGAAAUUCUUGGAUCUAUUGAAGACUAACUACUGCGAAAGCAUUUGCCAAGGAUGUUUUCAUUAAUCAAGAACGAAGGUUAGGGGAUCGAAAACGAUCAGAUACCGUUGUAGUCUUAACAGUAAACUAUGCCGACUAGGGAUCGGACGACCUCUUUUUUAUGUGUCGUUCGGCA